rnacentral:rRNA from 1 species
UACGUAGGGUGCGAGCGUUGUCCGGAAUUAUUGGGCGUAAAGGGCUCGUAGGCGGUUUGUCGCGUCGGGAGUGAAAGUCCGGGGCUCAACUCCGGAUCUGCGGUGGGUACGGGCAGACUAGAGUGAUGUAGGGGAGACUGGAAUUCCUGGUGUAGCGGUGAAAUGCGCAGAUAUCAGGAGGAACACCGAUGGCGAAGGCAGGUCUCUGGGCAUUAACUGACGCUGAGGAGCGAAAGCAUGGGGAGCGAACAGG